GCUAAGGAAAACUUUAUUGCAAAAGAUAUAUAUAUAUAUAUUCUCGUUGAAAACAUAGGUAAGUUCAUAGCAGUGUAGAAUCGUGGUGCAGACUUGUGAAAUGAUGUCUUGGUACUGAUAUUUAGUAUUAGUUUUGUACUCAUCAAAUAAAAAGAUCUAAACUAAAACAAAUAUCUUUUUUGAAAUAAAAGUAAAAGAGUUAGUGACAUCUAUUAUUGAUCUCACCAAAUUUACCAAAGUGAAACAUCAAAAAGAUAGAGGGGGAACAAAUGAGAGUUCAACCAUUCAUAUAUAUCUUCUUAUAUGGUCUAUGAAUAAUUGAAGCCAAGCUUCCAGUAAUAUCAUCAUAAUCAUAAAGUUACAACAAUUUGGAAAAUUACUUGGCAACCUUAUCAAUUGAAAAUCUACAUGAAAUGACCAUAGACCAAACUAUAAGCAUGUGCAAAUUGUGAUAAAACUCUAUUGUAUAUUUAGAAAAUUAGAAGAUCUUUGUUCUUUUAUUCGAUGAGUCAAUCUAUCCAUUCUCAUUAGGGGAAUUCCUUUAUCUUAUCAAGAGUCCUAGGGAAAUAAAAAAUAACUUCGAGGUAUUUUUUUCGUUUCUUUAAACUUCUUACAAUUUUAUCAUCCUACACCUCAGGACUCACAUAGCUUUAAAGUUAUUUUCUAUUCAAGCAAUCCAAUUUCCACCAAGGACGAUAAAUUUUAAGUUGUCAUAAUACUAAACAAAGAAUAGCUAAGGAUAUGACUACUUUAAAGGUUAUUAUGGAUAUUGUGGGAAGAACACACAUGAAAAGCAAGCUUUGUAAACAUAAAUUUGGCUAACCAAGUUGGGUCGGUGAUCCUAGUUUUAGCAUCUUGCCUGAACUUGCAUAUUUUGUCACUGCUACUUCCCUUUCUUGUCAAUCAUAGUUGAAGAGGUCAUAUUCCUUUUGUUUCUUUUAGUGGCACUUGUAAUCCAUUGAUUGAAGAUAGAAAAGUAACUGCAGUUUCGGUGACCUCAAGGUUAUGAGCCUUGCGAGCUAUCAGAUUGUUGUACCACAAGCCAAAGAUAAGAACUGAAAACUAAUAGAUAAAAAGAAUUAAAUGUUCCCCUCCACCCUAUCAGUACAAAUAGAAUAAAAGUGAAACAUCAAAAAGAUAGAGGGGAACAAAUGAGAGUUCAACCAUUCAUAUAUAUCUUCUUAUAUGGCCUAUGAAUAGUUCAAGCCAAGCUUCCAGUAAUAUCAUCAUAAUCAUAAAGUUGCAACAAAUUGGGAAAUUACUUGGCAACCUUAUCAAUUGAAAUCUACAUGAAAUGACCAUAGACCAAACUAUAAGCAUGUGCAAAUUGUGAUAAAACUCUAUUGUAUAUUUAGAAAAUUAGAAGAUCUUUGUUCUUUUAUUCGAUGAGUCAAUCUAUCCAUUCUCAUUAGGGGAAUUCCUUUAUCUUAUCAAGAGUCCUAGGGAAAUAAAAAAUAACUUCGAGGUAUUUUUUUCGAUUCUUUAAACCUCUUCAAAUUUUAUCAUCCUACAUCUCAGGACUCAGAUAGCUUUGAAGUUAUUUUCUAUUCAAGCAAUCCAAUUUUCACAAAGGACGAUAAAUUUUAAGUUGUCAUAAUAUUAAACAAAGAAUAGCUAAGGAUAUGACUACAUUAAAGGUCAUUAUGGAUAUUG
rnacentral:lncRNA from 1 species